rnacentral:tRNA from 1 species
GAUGCUUUAGCUCAGUUGGUUAGAGCUUCUCACUUUUAAUGAGAAGGCCCUGGGUUCGAGUCCCAGAAGCAUCA